CGGGGGGAGCAAGCGUUGUUCGGAUUUACUGGGCGUAAAGGGCGUGUAGGCGGCCACCGCAAGUCAGUUGUGAAAGCUCUGGGCUUAACCCAGAAAGGUCAACUGAUACUGCGGGGCUAGAGUGCAGAAGGGGCAACUGGAAUUCUCGGUGUAGCGGUGAAAUGCGUAGAUAUCGAGAGGAACACCUGCGGCGAAGGCGGGUUGCUGGGCUGACACUGACGCUGAAACGCGAAAGCUAGGGGAGCGAACGGGAUUAGAUACCCCGGUAGUCCUAGCCUUAAACGAUGAAUGCUUGGUGUCUGGGGUUUAUAGUCCCCGGGUGCCGUCGCUAACGCUUUAAGCAUUCCGCCUGGGGAGUACGGUCGCAAGACU
rnacentral:rRNA from 1 species